rnacentral:rRNA from 1 species
UGAACGCUGGCGGUAUGCUUUACACAUGCAAGUCGAACGGCAGCGCGGGGCAACCUGGCGGCGAGUGGCGAACGGGUGAGUAAUAUAUCGGAACGUACCCAAGAGUGGGGGAUAACGUAGCGAAAGUUACGCUAAUACCGCAUACGAUCUAUGGAUGAAAGUGGGGGAUCGCAAGACCUCAUGCUCCUGGAGCGGCCGAUAUCUGAUUAGCUAGUUGGUAGGGUAAAGGCCUACCAAGGCGACGAUCAGUAGCUGGUCUGAGAGGACGACCAGCCACACUGGAACUGAGACACGGUCCAGACUCCUACGGGAGGCAGCAGUGGGGAAUUUUGGACAAUGGGCGCAAGCCUGAUCCAGCAAUGCCGCGUGAGUGAAGAAGGCCUUCGGGUUGUAAAGCUCUUUUGUCAGGGAAGAAACGGUGGGAGCUAAUAUCUCCCACUAAUGACGGUACCUGAAGAAUAAGCACCGGCUAACUACGUGCCAGCAGCCGCGGUAAUACGUAGGGUGCAAGCGUUAAUCGGAAUUACUGGGCGUAAAGCGUGCGCAGGCGGUUUUGUAAGUCUGUCGUGAAAGCCCCGGGCCCUUUCUGGGAAUUGCGAUGGAGACUGCAAGGCUUGAAUCUGGCAGAGGGGGGUAGAAUUCCACGUGUAGCAGUGAAAUGCGUAGAGAUGUGGAGGAACACCGAUGGCGAAGGCAGCCCCCUGGGUCAAGAUUGACGCUCAUGCACGAAAGCGUGGGGAGCAAACAGGAUUAGAUACCCUGGUAGUCCACGCCCUAAACGAUGUCUACUAGUUGUCGGGUUUUAAUUAACUUGGUAACGCAGCUAACGCGUGAAGUAGACCGCCUGGGGAGUACGGUCGCAAGAUUAAAACUCAAAGGAAUUGACGGGGACCCGCACAAGCGGUGGAUGAUGUGGAUUAAUUCGAUGCAACGCGAAAAACCUUACCUACCCUUGACAUGUACGGAAGCCACGAGAGAUCGAGGUGUGCUCGAAAGAGAGCCGUAACACAGGUGCUGCAUGGCUGUCGUCAGCUCGUGUCGUGAGAUGUUGGGUUAAGUCCCGCAACGAGCGCAACCCUUGUCAUUAGUUGCUACAUUUAGUUGAGCACUCUAAUGAGACUGCCGGUGACAAACCGGAGGAAGGUGGGGAUGACGUCAAGUCCUCAUGGCCCUUAUGGGUAGGGCUUCACACGUCAUACAAUGGUACAUACAGAGGGCCGCCAACCCGCGAGGGGGAGCUAAUCCCAGAAAGUGUAUCGUAGUCCGGAUCGCAGUCUGCAACUCGACUGCGUGAAGUUGGAAUCGCUAGUAAUCGCGGAUCAGCAUGUCGCGGUGAAUACGUUCCCGGGUCU